rnacentral:lncRNA from 1 species
GGAUUAAAUAGUUGACUAUGUCAGCUAGCACUAGACAUGAGGUUCAGGUUCAAUUUUGGGGAUGAAUAGGAUUUGAUCUAUGAUCCAAAGAGUCUAUGAGAGAUUGAAUUUAAGUGUUAAUUAAUUUUAGAUUAGAUCUAAUUUAAUUAGACUUAAUUGGGUUAAAAAUUCAACUUAGAUUUGGAUCUAAAUCCUAAACAAUUUGGGAUUGACAGCCUAAUCAAAAUUGGU